rnacentral:lncRNA from 1 species
CACCUUAGAAAAGAAAAUGUUGAAGUGAGAUGGUCUACUUGUCCUUAUCUUCUAACUGGAAGAGGCAUUCUUUCUUGCAGCAUAAACCCGAAAAGCAGCCAGCCAACAAUGGCUACUGCAGCUUCAGCAGUAAUAUUAGGACGACGUUUAAACCAUCUUGGAGGAGAACAUAUACGUAAAAAAUUUCACAAGGGAUAAGUGCUUGGGUUAUCAAUUAUUAAACUUACCUUCAUAGGAGCAAGAUGAUUCCCAAUUGUUUAAUCAUCCAGUCCAGCGUCGGACGACCGGUUUGGUCAUCCGAAAGGACAGAAUAUUUGGUCCAUUUUUCAUCCGUUUAUUUCGAUCCGGUCCAUACAUUCGUCGACCGGUCUCGUGAUUUUCUAGAUUUUAAGGACCAAAACUCUGCACUUUUUCGAAGUGUUUCUCGUUUUCUUCAUCUCCACUUUCGACCCCAUCUAAAACCCACAAAACCAACCUUCACUCCAAAAAAAUUCCAUACAAAUUCAAAAACCCAUCUCUUCCACACUCAAAAUCCCUCAUUUCCAUCCAUAAAUCACUUCAAACUGGUUAUCUGAACACUUGCUCUUCAAAUACGAUUUAUACACUAUGCAUCGAUUGAAGAUUCCAGGCAAGCGCAAUAGGAGGACAGAAAUACAACGGACUCCCUCAUCCGAAGAGGAACCCGCAUAUAAGGAGAAUAAGUUUGACAAAUGCCCAAUUCUUAUGGGUAAG